UACGGGGGGAGCAAGCGUUGUUCGGAUUUACUGGGCGUAAAGGGCGCGUAGGCGGCCACCGCAAGUCGAUUGUGAAAUCUCCGGGCUUAACCCGGAAAGGUCAACCGAUACUGCGGGGCUAGAGUGCGGAAGGGGCAACUGGAAUUCUUGGUGUAGCGGUGAAAUGCGUAGAUAUCAAGAGGAACACCUGCGGCGAAGGCGGGUUGCUGGGCCGACACUGACGCUGAGGUGCGAAAGCGUGGGGAGCAAACAGG
rnacentral:rRNA from 1 species